GAAAAGCACAGCAGCAUACAACUCAGAGGGUGAAGUGCUGUGGUCUUUCCUGCAUAUCAGAAGGAAAACCAGGGAGAAUCAGAGUCUCGGGUAAAAUCAACCCCAUCCCAUGGCGUGAACAUCGCAGGAGUCCAUCAGGAGACAGACAGGUGUGAGUCAAACCACAGCUCCUGCUUCCUGACCUGCUUGAGUUCCAGUCCUGACUUCCUUUGGUGAUGAACUGCAGUGUGGGAAGUGUAAGCUGAAUAAACCCUUUCCUCCCCAACUUGCUUCUUGAUCAUGAUGUUUGUGCAGGAAUAGAAACCCUGACUAAGACAGCCAUGUAACAGGCAUUUGGCAUACCUUCCUUCCAGAAACCCCAGAGCUAACCAAAUGGCCUACACUGGAGUCUGCAGGGCCCAGUGGGACCUUCUUUAGGAG